UACGUAGGUGGCAAGCGUUGUCCGGAUUUACUGGGCGUAAAGAGCGCGCAGGCGGCCGAGUAAGUCGAAUGUGAAAGCCCCCGGCUCAACUGGGGAAAGUCAUUCGAUACUGUUCGGCUCGAAGAUAGGAGAGGGAAGCGGAAUUUCAGGUGUAGUGGUGAAAUGCGUAGAUAUCUGAAGGAACACCAGUGGCGAAGGCGGCUUUCUGGCCUAUUCUUGACGCUGAGGCGCGAAAGCUAGGGGAGCGAACGGG
rnacentral:rRNA from 1 species